ACCUUCUCUUUUCUCCGCACUCACCACUUUCCACAGAAACCAACUUGCACUCAAAUCGUCGCUUGCCGCAUCGAAACGUGAUGGCGAUGUUGUCGCUGCGACGAUACCGCCGAUGCUGUCGUGUGAAGUGACGGUGAAAUUCUCAGCCAAGUAGUGUCUUCUCAGGUUAAUUGAGAAAGAUUUGCAGUUUCCAUUCAUGGCCCAACUUAUUUCAGGUAUCAUUCCUAUUUUUGGGUUUUAGUUUUGUUAGUCAAGAAGUGGACCAGGCGUGCAACUGAUUAAGCCCAUUAAGGGUGUGCUUAUGUCAGCAAACCAACAACUGCCUAUAAAUAGGAAUAACUGUAAAGUGUAAUCAGUUUAGGGGACUUUUGGAAACUGAGAAAGCGGUGUAAGGACGAGGGAGGAGAGGGGAAGAGAGGUACAUUUCUCACGUACAUUUUCUGAGUGGAGACGAGGGAGGAGAGGGG